rnacentral:rRNA from 1 species
AUUGAGCGCUGGCGGUGGGCUUAACACAUGCUAGUCGUGCGAGAUCAGUAUCUUCGGAGAUGAGUAGAGCGGCGGACGGGUGAGUAACGCGUAGGAAUCUACCUACUAGAGGGGGAUAGCCCGGGGAAACUCGGAUUACUACCGUAUACCUCCUUCGGGAGAAAGAAGGCCUCUCUUUGAAGCUUUCGCUAUUAGAUGAGCCUGCCUAAGAUUAGCUUGUUGGUGAGGUAAAGGCUCACCAGGGCGACGAUCUUUAGCGGGUCUGAGAGGACGAUCCGCCACAUUGGGACUGAGACACGGCCCAGACUCCUACGGGAGGCAGCAGUGGGGAAUAUUGGACAAUGGGCGAAAGCCUGAUCCCUCCAUACCGCGUGUGUGAAGAAGGCCCGAGGGUUGUAAGGCACUUUAAGUUGGGAAGAAAAGUUAUUGGUUAACUACCCGAGAACCGUGACAUUACCAUCAGAAUAAUGACCGGCUAAUUCCGUGCCAGCAGCCGCGGUAAUACGGAAGGUCCGAGCGUUAAUCGGAAUUACUGGGCGUAAAGCGCGCGUAUGUGGUUUAUUAAGUUGGAUGUGAAAUCCCCGGGCUCAACCUGGGAACUGCAUCCAAAACUGAUUCACUAGAGUACGAUAGAGGGAGGUAGAAUUCACAGUGUAGCGGUGGAAUGCGUAGAUAUUGUGAAGAAUACCAAUGGCGAAGGCAGCCUCCUGGAUCUGUACUGACACUGAGGUGCGAAAGCGUGGGUAGCGAACAGGAUUAGAUACCCUGGUAGUCCACGCCGUAAACGAUGUCAACUAGCUGUUGGAAAACUAUGUUUUUCAGUGGCGCAGCUAACGUAGUAAGUUGACCGCCUGGGGAGUACGGCCGCAAGGCUAAAACUCAAAUGAAUUGACGGGGACCCGCACAAGCGGUGGAGCAUGUGGUUUAAUUCGAUGCAACGCGAAAAACCUUACCUAUACUUGACAUACUUGGAAUGCUUUGUAAUGAAGCAGUGCCUUCGGGAGCCAAGAUACAGGUGCUGCAUGGCUGUCGUCAGCUCGUGUCGUGAGAUGUUCCGUUAAGUCGGAUAACGAGCGCAACCCUUACCCUUAUUUGCCAGCGAUUCGGUCGGGAACUAUAAGGGGACUGCCGGUGAUAAACCGGAGGAAGGUGAGGACGACGUCAAGUCAUCAUGGCCCUUACGUAUAGGGCUACACACGUGCUACAAUGGAGAAUACAGACGGACGCUAAGCCGCGAGGUGGUGCUAAUCCUAGAAAAUUCUUCGUAGUCCGGAUUGGAGUCUGCAACUCGACUCCAUGAAGUCGGAAUCGCUAGUAAUCGCGAAUCAGCAUGUCGCGGUGAAUACGUUCUCGGGUCU